rnacentral:rRNA from 1 species
UCCACGCCCUAAACGAUGAGAACUAGCUGUUGGUUACGUAAAUGUAGUCAGUAGCGAAGCUAACGCGUUAAGUUCUCCGCCUGGGGAGUACGACCGGCAAGGUUGAAACUCAAAAGGAAUUGACGGGGGCCCGCACAAGCGGUGGAGCAUGUGGUUUAAUUCGAUGCAACGCGAAGAACCUUACCAUCCCUUGACAUCCUCAGAAUUUGUCGUAAUGACUUAGUGCCUUCGGG